UGGGGCGUGGUGAAGCGGUAACGCAACGGCUUUUGGUCCCACUAUUCGAAGAUUCAAAUUCUUCCAUCUCAG
rfam:Cajanus cajan CcLG06_353, whole genome shotgun sequence.